AGUUAAAGUAGAGAUUUAAUAAGAUCAAUUGAUUUUUCUUAUCUAAAGUUAAUCACAGAUCACUCAGAUUUCGAGUAGAGCAGGGAUAUAGACAACACUAAACUAAAGCCUUGAUCAGAACCUCUAAAAAAUGAAGCGUUCAGUGACUUUUCUGCUCUGUGUCAGCUUGGCUGUCGUUCUCUUUGUUGAUCUGGCACACUCAACCCAGCUUGAGACAAGAGCAGACGACGAAAAAAAGCCUGGCAAGGUAGAGAUGGUUUUAAUCAAGGACUUACUAAAGAAAAAGUUCACAGUCUCUGCUGUUACAGAAGUGAAAGUAAACUCGCAAAAAUAAAACAAAAAGAAAUACACUGUAAA